rnacentral:rRNA from 1 species
CGCAAUGCCCGAAAGGGUGACGAAGCGACGCCGCGUGUGGGAAGAAGGCCUUCGGGUUGUAAACCACUGUCGGGAGUUAAGAAAUGUAAGGAUGUUAAUAGUAUUCUUACUUGACUAAGGCUCCGGAGGAAGCCACGGCUAACUCUGUGCCAGCAGCCGCGGUAAUACAGAGGCGGCAAGCGUUGUUCGGAAUUAUUGGGCGUAAAGAGCAUGUAGGCGGCUAUGUAAGUCGGUUGUGAAAGCCUUCCGCUUAACGGAAGAAUGGCGGCCGAAACUGCAUAGCUUGAGUGCGGUAGGGGAGAGUGGAACUUCUGGUGGAGCGGUGAAAUGCGUAGAUAUCAGAAGGAACGCCGGCGGCGAAAGCGACUCUCUGGGCCGUAACUGACGCUGAGUGUGCGAAAGCUAGGGGAGCAAACGGGAUUAGAUACCCCGGUAGUCCUAGCCGUAAACGAUGGGCACUAAGUAGAGGGGUUUU